rnacentral:rRNA from 1 species
AUGCACGCUGGCGGCGUGCCUCAUCCCUGCAAGUCGCGCGAACAGAUAAGGAGCUUGCUCCUUUGACGUUAGCGGCGGACGGGUGAGUAACACGUGGGUAACCUACCUAUAAGACUGGGAUAACUUCGGGAAACCGGAGCUAAUACCGGAUAAUAUUUCGAACCGCAUGGUUCGAUAGUGAAAGAUGGUUUUGCUAUCACUUAUAGAUGGACCCGCGCCGUAUUAGCUAGUUGGUAAGGUAACGGCUUACCAAGGCGACGAUACGUAGCCGACCUGAGAGGGUGAUCGGCCACACUGGAACUGAGACACGGUCCAGACUCCUACGGGAGGCAGCAGUAGGGAAUCUUCCGCAAUGGGCGAAAGCCUGACGGAGCAACGCCGCGUGAGUGAUGAAGGUCUUCGGAUCGUAAAACUCUGUUAUUAGGGAAGAACAUACGUGUAAGUAACUGUGCACGUCUUGACGGUACCUAAUCAGAAAGCCACGGCUAACUACGUG